rnacentral:rRNA from 1 species
AGUGAACGCUGGCGGUAGGCCUAACACAUGCAAGUCGAACGGCAGCACAGUAAGAGCUUGCUCUUACGGGUGGCGAGUGGCGGACGGGUGAGGAAUACAUCGGAAUCUACUUUUUCGUGGGGGAUAACGUAGGGAAACUUACGCUAAUACCGCAUACGACCUACGGGUGAAAGCAGGGGAUCUUCGGACCUUGCGCGAUUGAAUGAGCGGAUGUCGGAUUAGCUAGUGGGCGGGGUAAAGGCCCACCAAGGCGACGAUCGGUAGCUGGUCUGGGAGGAUGGUCGGCCACACUGGAACGGGGACACGGACCAGGGUCCUACGGGAGGGCGCAGUGGGGAAUAUUGGGCAGUGGGCGCGAGCCUGGUCCAGCCAUACCGCGUGGGUGGAGAAGACCUUCGGGUUGUAAAGCCCUUUUGUUGGGAAAGAAAAGCAGCAGGUUAAUACCCCGCUGUUCUGACGGUAACCAAAGAAUAAGCACCGGCUAACUUCGUG